rnacentral:rRNA from 1 species
AGAGUUUGAUCAUGGCUCAGGAUGAACGCUAGCGGCAGGCCUAAUACAUGCAAGUCGAACGGGUAGGAGAGCUUCGGUUCUUCUAUUAGUGGCGCACGGGUGCGUAACGCGUAUGCAACCUACCUUUUAUUGGGGGAUAGCCCGAGGAAACUCGGAUUAAUACCGCAUAAUAUCAUUGAUUGGCAUCGGUUGAUGAUUAAAGCUGAGGCGAUAAAAGAUGGGCAUGCGUGCCAUUAGCUAGUUGGUGGUGUAAGGGACCACCAAGGCAACGAUGGCUAGGGGUUCUGAGAGGAUGAUCCCCCACACUGGUACUGAGAUACGGACCAGACUCCUACGGGAGGCAGCAGUAGGGAAUAUUGGGCAAUGGUCGGAAGACUGACCCAGCCAUGCCGCGUGCAGGAAGAAGGCCUUCUGGGUUGUAAACUGCUUUUAUCUAGGAAGAAAAUACUCUUGCGAGAGGAACUGACGGUACUAGGUGAAUAAGCACCGGCUAACUCCGUGCCAGCAGCCGCGGUAAUACGGAGGGUGCAAGCGUUGUCCGGAUUUAUUGGGUUUAAAGGGUGCGUAGGCGGCUUAUUAAGUCAGGGGUGAAAGACUGCAGCUCAACUGUAGCAGUGCCUUUGAUACUGAUGAGCUUGAGUACAGAUGAGGCAGGCGGAAUGGGUGGUGUAGCGGUGAAAUGCAUAGAUACCAUCCAGAACACCGAUUGCGAAGGCAGCUGCUAAACUGUAACUGACGCUGAGACGAAAGCGUGGGCGAACAGGAUUAGAUACCCUAGUAGUCC